rnacentral:rRNA from 1 species
GGGGAUCUGCCCGAUAGAGGGGGAUAACCACUGGAAACGGUGGCUAAUGCCGCAUAACGUCGCAAGACCAAAGAGGGGGACCUUCGGGCCUCUCACUAUCGGAUGAACCCAGAUGGGAUUAGCUAGUAGGCGGGGUAAUGGCCCACCUAGGCGACGAUCCCUAGCUGGUCUGAGAGGAUGACCAGCCACACUGGAACUGAGACACGGUCCAGACUCCUACGGGAGGCAGCAGUGGGGAAUAUUGCACAAUGGGCGCAAGCCUGAUGCAGCCAUGCCGCGUGUAUGAAGAAGGCCUUCGGGUUGUAAAGUACUUUCAGCGGGGAGGAAGGCGGUGCGGUUAAUAACCGCGCCGAUUGACGUUACCCGCAGAAGAAGCACCGGCUAACUCCGUGCCAGCAGCCGCGGUAAUACGGAGGGUGCAAGCGUUAAUCGGAAUUACUGGGCGUAAGGCGCACGCAGGCGGUCUGUUAAGUCAGAUGUGAAAUCCCCGGGCUUAACCUGGGAACUGCAUUUGAAACUGGCAGGCUUGAGUCUCGUAGAGGGGGGUAGAAUUCCAGGU